rnacentral:rRNA from 1 species
UACAAGCCAAAUUAAGGUGAAACCGCGAAAGGCUCAUUAAAUCAGUUAUGGUUCCUUAGAUCGUACACACAUUUACUUGGAUAACUGUGGUAAUUCUAGAGCUAAUACAUGCAAACAGAGCUCCGACCGGAGACGGAAGGAGCGCUUUUAUUAGAUCAAAACCAAUCGGUGGCGGGCUUGCUCGUCAUCGUAAUACUUGGUGACUCUGAAUAACUUUUCGCUGAUCGCACGGUCCUGCACCGGCGACGCAUCUUUCAAAUGUCUGCCUUAUCAACUGUCGAUGGUAGGUUCUGCGCCUACCAUGGUUGUAACGGGUAACGGGGAAUCAGGGUUCGAUUCCGGAGAGGGAGCCUGAGAAACGGCUACCACAUCCAAGGAAGGCAGCAGGCGCGCAAAUUACCCACUCCCGGCACGGGGAGGUAGUGACGAAAAAUAACGAUACGGGACUCAUCCGAGGCCCCGUAAUCGGAAUGAGUACACUCUAAACCCUUUAACGAGGAUCAAUUGGAGGGCAAGUCUGGUGCCAGCAGCCGCGGUAAUUCCAGCUCCAAUAGCGUAUAUUAAAGUUGUUGCGGUUAA